UACAGAGGUCUCAAGCGUUGUUCGGAUUCAUUGGGCGUAAAGGGUGCGUAGGCGGCGCGGUAAGUCGGGUGUGAAAUCUUGGAGCUUAACUCCGAAACUGCAUUCGAUACUGCCGUGCUUGAGGACUGGAGAGGAGACUGGAAUUUACGGUGUAGCGGUGAAAUGCGUAGAUAUCGAGAGGAACACCUGCGGCGAAGGCGGGUAGCUGGGCCGACACUGACGCUGAUGCGCGAAAGCCAGGGGAGCGAACGGG
rnacentral:rRNA from 1 species